UACAGAGGGGGCAAGCGUUGUUCGGAAUUACUGGGCGUAAAGGGCGCGUAGGCGGCCUGCUAAGUCGAACGUGAAAUCCCCGGGCUCAACCCGGGAACUGCGUCCGAUACUGGCAGGCUUGAAUCCGGGAGAGGGAUGCGGAAUUCCAGGUGUAGCGGUGAAAUGCGUAGAUAUCGGAAGGAACACCAGUGGCGAAAGCGACUUCCUGGUCCAAUACUGACGUUCAUGUGCGAAAGCGUGGGGAGCAAACAGG
rnacentral:rRNA from 1 species